CUUUCCCACUGUGCUGUUUUCUCUAAUUGUAAGUUACAGUUACAUGUUACAUUAAAGCAGUAACAAUGAAAGUAAUCUGGGCAAGGCCCCUUAAAACUGUAAAAGUGGAAAUAUGAAGGUUGUAUGUUUAAGCACAUGACUCAAUAAGUACAAAUCAUUAUUAUUCAUGUUGUAAUGUAGACUCCAGCCCCUCCCCACUGCCCUAAAGCAAGUAGAAGAUGAAUGGAUAAAAGGAAGGAAAUUGUCAUUAUUUUUGAGCAUUUAUGGGUUACAUCAACCAGUUCAGAUGGGGAUGGAGGGGAACAUACCAAAGCAACAAUCAGUCCAUAAUCAUGUUUAAUGUGGGAGAUCUUGUAGGUGUAAUGUUAUCUGAACCAGUGUUAAUCUGGGCUGAGUGACAAGAGGAAUGCAACAUGAAGUAAGCAACCGUAUCCUCUAGUCAUGUGAUCAAGAGAAUAAAUCUAGGCCCCAAAUGUAAAGCUAUGAAGCUCGCAAGAACAAAGGGAGUGUUCAUGGCGAAAUAAAA